GUGAGAAGUUUUGUCGUGUUGAUCGUGUUCACCAUGUUUUGGGGACUUCAUGAAUGUAAAGAUGUCAGCGUUGAGAAACGAAGUCAAAUCAAUCCUUCAACUAUCGCAGAUGUGGCAAAAAUCUUGACUGACUACGCUAAAAGAAUAAAGGAUCUGGAGUCAAAGCAAGGAUGGUGUAAGGAUGGCGCGCCAGG